UGACCAAUUACUCAAUCUCUCGCCUUGCCUUAGUUUCCUUAGCAAAGUAGAAUAAGUAGAAUUAAUAAUAUAUUCCUGAUUAGAUAUGAGAAUAAAUGAAAUAAUCUAUGUAGGGUACCUUAUUGUCACUCAGCUAUUAAAACUAAUAUACUCCCUAGGGAGUUCCCAUUGUGGCUCAGUGGUUAAUGAACCCGAAUAGCAUCCAUGAGGAUGCAGGUUAGAUCUCUGGCCUCGCUCAGUAGGUUAAGGAUCUGGCGUUGCCAUAAGCUGCAGUGUAGAUCAAAGACACGGCUUGGAUCUGCACCACUAUGGCUCUGGUGUAGGCUGGCGGCUACAGCUCAGAUUGGACCACUAGCCUGGGAACCUCUGUGUGCCUUGGGUGCGGCCCUAAAGAGACAAAAAGACAAAAAUAAAUUUAAAAAACUAAUACACUGCCUACCCAUCUAUAUUAGCUGGGCUGCUGUAAUAAUUACCAUAGACUAGGAGGCAUAAACAUCAAGAAUUUAUUUCUUACAGUUCUGGAGGCUGGAAAGUACAAGACCGAGGUGCUGGCCAUUCAGUUCAUGUGAAAGCUCUCUUCCUGACUUGUGAUGGCUGUUUUCACAUGUAAGGGAGAGCGAGAAAAUGAACUCUCUGAUGUCUCUUCUUAGAACGAUACUCACCCCAUCAUGAGGGCCCCAUCCUCACGACUUCACCUGUUUCUGCUUACCUCUAAAGGCCCCAUCUCCAAAUAUUAUCACAUUGAGGAUUAGGGCCUGAACAUAUGAAUUGGAAGGACAUCAUUAACUUUGUAACACUGUUCCACCCCUUUUUAUUUGAAAUAUUUGCAGGACAAGAAACACUUAGCUCUGAUUUUUUUAAUUUUGUUUCCUUAAAACAAGAUAAAUAAGAACAUUCAUCAAAACAUUCCAUGAUUUACCAAAGGGACAGGCAGCAGGGAGGUCAGAUUGGGGGUUGGGAUUGGCAUAUAUGCACAUUGUGGUAUAUGGAGUGACUGGCCAAUGGGGGCCUGCUGCAUAACACAGGGAACUCUACCCAGUAUUCUGUGAUAACCUAUAUGGGAAAAGAAUCUGAAAAAGAAUGGAUGUGUAUAUAGGUAUAACUGAAUCACUUUGCUUUACAGCAGCAAGUAUUACAUCAUUGGAAAUCAAUUGUACUUCAAAAAAGAUUUUUAAAAUGAAAAAAAAAAAUCCCUGAUUUAUUCAACGGACAUUUAAUAAACACCUACUGCUUUCGAGGUGUGGUACUAGGUACUGAGGUUAUAAGAUUAAUUAAAGAGACAUGGUUCCAGCCCUCAAGGGAUUCAGACUCUUAACAACUGCCUAUUGGUAAUAUCUCAUUUCUUCCUUAAAAACCAUCAUUCCCCUCCCUCUGUAUGGCAGUUAUAAUAUUAAGGCUUUCAUAUUUCUCUGGUCAUUUCCUUCUUGGAUAAAGCAGCACAGGUAAGAGGCACUCUUUAUUACCCCCACUGAAUACAUAAAGAAAACAGGUGCUUAGAAUUAAAAGGACAUAAAGUGACAUGUGUAUAUGCUCAGCUCUAGGGGACAAGAUGAAAUGAGGAAGAGUUUGUUUUUAAAGUCCAUAUGUUUGAAUGUCUUGGCUUUCUCACCAAAAUGUUUUCUUUAAGAGAACAGGCCUUUUCAGACUCUUCACAAAAUUAAAGCAAAGAAGCUUUUCUAAAAUAUUUACUAAAAUAACUUCUCCAUUUGAUCCUCAAACAGCUUCACGAGCAAGGAGUAACUCUGCUUUAGUAGAUUCAUAAAACUGAAGAGAAAAAAGGUCAAUAUCAAUGUCAACAAACAUAUUUUUUCAGUAUCCAAUCAUGCCACAGGCCAUUACCUUCCCAAAGGAAAAGUUUUCAUUCAUGCUGCUUAUGACACAGCACACAAGAAACAGGGAAAUCCCAGGUAAUAACUACUGAAGCAAUCAUCAUUAUUAUUUCAGGUAAAGAGACUGAAGUUCAAACUAUCAAGUGCCAUAUAAAAGAUAUCAGCUGAUGUUUUUGUACAUUUACUUCACAUUUCUUUCAUCUUUCACAAAAGUGAUACUAACUCAUGGAAAAAUAAACACUAAGAAAAAAUAUAAAGGAAAAGGCAAGCUUCCUCCAUCCCUCCCAGACUUUGCCCCACUAACCAGAAGUAAUCAAACUUGCCUAAUCCUUAUGAAAAAGUAGGCACCUAACAUCAAUGUAUAUAAUGCCCUUUUUAAUAUAUGUGGGAUUAGCUAAUAAAUAAUAUUUUGCAGCAUAUUUGUGUCAUAGCAAUACACUUUGGAGAGUUUUCCAUAACAGCAUAUGUAGCUCUAUCUCAUUCUAUUAAUGACAGUUCAUUUUCAUAAGAGUCCAAAAUGGGAUUGCAUUUUUCCUGUUUCUUGGUAACCACUAUCCUUUGUACAAUGCAGUUAACUCGCUUCCUUAAUAAAUUCAAAAACUGAAUUGAGCAAGGCCCGUAAUAUUAAUUUCAACAAGACUUAACUUUAACAAGAGUACUUCAUCAGUUUCUGGCCAUGCCAGGGACCACUCCUUUUCAAAGAAAAUGUUUUCAUUCAUGCUGUUUAUGAGGUAGCACACAUGAAUGAGGAUAAAGCCAGGCGAUAUCCUCUAUCUUUCACAUACAUGGCAAAAAAUCGAAAGACACACCUGUUUACUGGCCAUAUCAAUACAACACAAGCUUCAAGUAACUUUUCCUCAGACCUUGCAGCUCAAGAUAACUACCCUCAAGUUCACAAUAAUAAAAAUUUUUAAAAAAGAAAAAAAAUUAGGGUUUCUUCACACUGGAGACAGAAAGACCAAACAAAUCUGCUAGUUAUAAUUCUGAGCUGUUUGACAGACAGAAACUUUAAAAUACAAUUUCUCAACAUUCAAGUGUAGCCAGAGGUAAUAGAACAUUUUUUUCCCCAAACCCAAUGAGGAAACUAAAAUGCUGCCUCAUUCAAUUCAAAGAGUAGAGUUCCAUUACAAUGAGAAUAACAAAAGCAGGCAGAAUCCCAGAAUCCUCAGAAACAUGCAACUCAGUAGGUCUGCUAGAAAAGAAACUUCACUUAGAUAAAAAGAUUAAAAACUCCCAUUCAGCAAACAGUGGCUUUUCUAGGAGCACAAAACCCUAAGUAAUCAUUUCCCCUAAUCAAAUGGGUGUCCUGUUGCUCUGUAAUCAAUGAUAAUGAAUGUAUUCUGUAAACUGGAGUGUUUAUAAGCCUUUUCAAAGCAGGAAAGCAGCACUGUCCUUUGCAGCCUCUCAGAGGAGUUCAGAGAUGGAAAAUUGCCCAUCUCCCUGCUCCCAGGCUCUAAAGGCCAACAAAGCUCAUUAGCUAUUUAUCUACCUGUGUAGAGCCACAUUUAACCCAAGAUGCCAUUCUACAAACCUCACCCGAACAGAAACAUACUGGGAAAGGAAAUUCAGCCAAAAACCCAGACAUUCGAACUCGAGAAACCAAUGGAGCUAAAAGGAAAACAUUAGUGGUUUAAUUCACUUAGAUGUCACAGUUUUAUUAAUCACCUUCUCCAUCAGGCACUGCAUGGACUAAGGAUCUGGAUAUAAUAAAAUUCAAUCUGCAUACGCAAAGAAAUCCCAGUUUGGAGUGGGAGAUAGGAAUGUAAACAGUUAACCAUUCGAUUCUGUAAAUACUGCAAUUAAAACAAUUCAUGGAACUAUGAGAGGACAGAAAACAUCCUCCCAAUACUAAAUGAUACAUAGAAGAGCACACAGAGAAAAUAUUUUUGAAUCCUUACUGGGAAACUGAUCACAGUGGUUGAUCUAGGAGGGUAAAUAUCAAAUAUCUACUGAAAGAUAGAACUAGAGAGAGAUUUACUUUCAUUGUAUACAUGUAUUUUUUAAACUUUGAAACGUGCACACUUUGCAUGCAUCAUCAAUUCACUAAUUAAUUUAAAAUAAAAUGGUGGGUAAAAAUGAUUUAAAAAAUAAUCCUUGUCCAGGGUAAAAAGCAGUAACUGUCUAAUACCUGCUUAUUUACGGUCAAAAAAAAUAAGAAUGCAUUAGUACCCACGAAUAAAUAAUAAUGCAUGUGAGCUUUUAUAAUCAUGUUUGAGAUUCAAAAACUUGCAUUUUAUAACAAGUUUUCAUGCAGUCAAAUCAUGGCCCUAACAAAAUGUGAAACUGGUCAUGGUGUAAAUUGCCAUAACCACUUAAGAGAACAGUUGGACUUCACUGAGUAAAGUGGAAGAUAUACAUCACCUAUGACACAUUUCCAGUUCUGGGAAGAUAUUCAAGCUGGUUCUCAAUCUUUAAUAAUUUGCAUUUCUAAUGAAUUUCCAGGUGAUGUUGAUGCUGCUGAUGCAAAGGCUACAUUUUGAGAACCAUUGCUUUAGAGAUAAUCAUGCGCAUGUGCACCAGGACACAUGAACAAAGAUGUUCAUAGCUGCGUUUUUCAUUAUACACAAAACUGGAGAACAACCCAGUCACUAUCAAUAAGAGAAAGCUUAAGUUGUGGGUGCAAUGUUACAGCAGAUAAUAAAAUAGCAAUGAAAAUAAGCUGUAGUUUCCUGCAAUCAUAUAAAUGACUUUCAGAAAACAAAACGUAGCAAAAAAAAAUGCAACAAAAAGAAUACAUUCAGUAAGACUUCAUUAGUAUAAAGUCCCAAAACAGGAAAAAAGAAACUACUAUAUCAUUUAUAGAUGCAAACAUAGACAGUAAAGGUAUGAUGCAAAGCAAGCAAAUGGUUAUCACAUAAGUCAGAAUACGGUUACCUCGAGGGUAGAAGGUGCGGUUAUGCUUGGAGAGGGUCACAUGGAGGGUUUCUGGGGUGCUGGCAAUGCACUGUUUCUCGACUUAGGUGGCCAUCAUUCCCAUUUUGGCUUUGUAAUUUUUGUCAAAUUGCACAU
rnacentral:lncRNA from 1 species